GAAAAUUUCAUUUCCUCCAUCAUGCUAAAUGGCUCUGGUCGACAUAUGUUUGUUAUCAGAGAGAGGUGCUAUGAACACAGAGCCAUUUUCUUAGCAGCUCUUUGACUCUGUGUUACCAUAGUCCCACACGGCAUUGGUCCUUUCCCGUUGGGAAGUCAUGAAUAAGAGACUAUGAAGCUUGCACGUCAGAUCUUCCUCAAUUAAUCCACCAUUAGCAUGUUUGGGAUCCUCUACUGGAUGGUUAACAGCAGCUUUGGUAACUGUAUGCUGUCCAUACCCAAUUAUGCUCUGCUAAAAAUGAACUCUGCAGAACAACCUUCCUGAGCUGUCAGUGUCUCCCGUUUUCCUAUUUUAACGCUUGUGUGUAGUGGCAGGCGACAGAUGGUGUAGAUCAGAUCGAUUUGAUUGCAUUAGGCGAUUUUUUUUUCCUCCUCUCCCCCCCGACUCCUUUUCUGGAAGCCCACAUUCAUCUGAGAGGCGAUCGCCGGGGACAUGGGAAGCAAGAGCAGCCGCCGAUGUGUGAAAGCAACGAGACAUGGCCAGCCAGAGGCGCCGGGUCCCUUCCCGGGGUUUGUUAACAUGGUAAUCCGGCACCAGGAGAGAAAGCUGUUUGCUGCUGCCCACAGCCCGUUCCCCAUCACACAUCAGAUGACUCCCUGGUUUUACACACAGUUGGAGUUCUGCUCGAAGCCUGGAUUUAAAGGGAAUCUGUUGCUGCGUGUGUCAUCUCUUGCAAGCUCCCAGAGAGAACUGAUGGAGCACACGGGCAGGGAAUAGGAUGCCAGAGAAGCACAGAGGGAGAAACCAGGCGGUCACCAGGAUGGGAAGGUUCAGCGUCCAUUGGAUAUGGGACAAGAUCACUCGGCAACCCUUGUGGAUUCUCCUUCUUCUAGAGGGGAAUUAUAGUUAUGGAUUUAUUGUCCCGGUGCAGCACUUCCACCGCCACCACCAGCAACAGCAGCAGCUUUCUGACUCUCUUCGGUGACGGGUAUUCUUGGGUGGAUAAUACGGAUUACGUUGUUAUUGCUUAAGAAUACGCGUAGUCGAGGAGAGUACCGGCGGCGGGCAGGCAGGCAGGCAGCGCGACCGCCCCCAGCCCACCAGCUGGCUCCUAACCUCCUCUAGUUGCCAAGCCUAAGUCUCCCGGACUAGUCCAUCUUCCUUCCUCACCAUGCCAAAUGACCCAUGGAAAGCCAUAGAUCUUCAGUGUGUGGGGACAACCGAACGUCAGCAACUUCUGGGAAUGCUGCUACAAGGUGAGCCUCACACCCUGCCUAUGCUCUGUGCUCCCAGAUGUUUGGCCCCGUGAUGGCAGAAGAAGAAACAUCUGGAGUUCUCCUGCUCCCACGGGACCCCCAGCUACCAGGCCCCGACCCACUGCGACUGCUUCUGGCAUCUUCUGGUGGAGAUGCUGCUGAGGCUGGCUUUGCCCUGCUUGCUGCUGUCUGCCUGUCUUAUUCUUCUGAGUUAUGCCCCAGCCCACUCCUAUCGUGUUGUGCAUCUGCCUCUGGGCUGUGUUGAGUUUUCAAUUAUCCCCACAUACAGAUGCUAUGUAAAACAGCGUGCAGGGCUUGAGCAGGCUGAACACAGUAGAAAUACACUUAAAUAAAAAGUACUGCUGUAAUACCAGGAGGCUGAUUGGAAGCACAAGAUAGCAGUGUCAUAUCCUGCAGCUUUUAUGUUGGUAGAUACAGAUUUCAACCAUUAGAGUCUAGCUAUCCAACAAAUAACAACCAGAGGAAAUGGAUCUGGGUGUCUUCAGUUGUGAACAACUGAUACACUUUCCCUAGUAAAUGGAGGACACGGUAAACUGCCACAAGACAGGCUUUUGAGAUACCUACAAAUAUAAUCAGGCAUGUAAUAUGUGGCAGUGUCUAUGUGUAACUUAGAGAAGCUCCCUGGGGUUGGAACUAGAUGAUCUUAAGGUCCUUUCCAACCAGUCUAUGAUUCUACGAUUCUACUCACAAUAUGUUUAAAACAUACAUCAAGAGAGCUCUGACCUCCAAGAACCAAUGUGUGGUUCCAUUGGCAACUCCAAAUUCAGGCACGGAAAUAAAGAGCAAGUGUAGGUCUCAAUGUCAGUAUGUGUACAAGCAGUAAAAACUCCCCCAAAUCAGGUACCAUAAUUCCUAGGUGGGGGGAAAAUGAUAUGACAAAAGAGGGACAAAUAAGCAUAAAAUAAGCUAAUGUAAAAUGUGCCUGUUACUAACCUCUAGAAGAGCUCAGCAGCUCGAAUUGUAGAAUGUGGUAUGUAGACAAAUGUAAAGAGAGGAACACAUUAAGUGUGUUUUUCUCCAGAGCAGAAUGAAAUAGGCAUACAGUGCAAAUUAUAAUAUUUAGUACUUUCAGGGCAAAUUCUAGUUGAGGAUCACGAAGUAAUUUGAAAGUAUUAAUGAAUUAGCCUCACAGCUAGCUUUCAGGUAGAUAAUAAUGAUAAUUAUUACUAUAAAUACAUAUUAUUAUUAUCAUUCUUGCUCCAAAGAAGUGAAAAUUGAGGCCUAGAGAAUUUAUACGUUUGUCCAAAGUCUGUGUUUUAUUCCUGUAACCAUCCUCCUCUAGAACUAUUAUAUAUCAAGUUGACUAUUUCCCACAUACUGCAUGAGAUACACGAUGCAGUUUAUGAGCUCUAAACCCCAACCAGCUGAGCUCCCUUACAAAACAGUGCCUGUGAACAUCUCCAUUUGCAUUUGAAUUCUCAAGCAGCAACAAUCCUGCUUAAAAAAAAAAAAAGCUAUCAAGAAAAAAGGAAUCAUGAAAAUCAGUAGAAAAUCUGUCAAGGCCCCAUCUGUGAGUGGGUAUCAGAAUAGCGCUAAGAAGCUCUGAGGAACAAAGUUCAUUCCAAGUCUAACGCAUAGUGCUUUCUGGUCGAUGAAAUGAAUUCAAGCAGGGUGAAAUGAGGGCACGUACCAUGAAAAAGCGUGUUCCCCCACUGAGGAGUGCAGGAAAGCAUUUCUGCUCUGUGUGUGGUCUCGGUGCAUGCAGCCGUGCUUACAUACUCAGUGUGUUCCUGUCUCCUUUUGAUAGCCACACUUCUUUGGGGAGCAUCAGGAACGAGUGAUCUCUGGCCCUGACAAGAUGAGGACUUGGAUUAUGUAUGCCUGUUGCUAAAAGCAAGCUUUCAUAGCCAGCUACCUGAAGUAGUAUGGAAACAAAACCAGAGUUUCCACGCCGGCCUUGAAAAUGCCCACAUAAACACAUUUAUGUCCUUCUGAAUGGGAAUAUAUAAAGGUUAGGGACACUUACUUGCAGGCUAUUUAUAUAUCUCCUCUCAGGAUCUGAAUUCCUAAGAGCCUUGGCCUUAGCUUUUUGCUCUCAUACAUGCAAUAUUUGGAACUAACGACAGGAAAGUGGAGAACCACGGCAUUAACACCAUUCUAAUGCACCAGAUUAUUUUCCUUUCCCUUUUUUUUGAGCUGUUAGAGUAUGCAAAUGUUCCGUUAACUGGUCCUCAUGUUUUCUCUUUAUUGAAUUGCUUUCACGAUGGCGAAUAAAUAUUCAUAAAGAAGUGCGGACAAUAAAUCAUUUCAAAUAGUUCAAAGCCAUUUUCUUCCUAGACUGCAUAUAUAUUCAGCUGUGACUCGCCUUUAAUAUUUCACUCAAAAAGAGAGACUUGUAGAAGGACAAUACAGAUAAUGUGUCAAGUAGUAAUUAAAGCAGGGGGUAAUGAUUAAAACCAUUUUGAUCUGCAUUGUACUCUGUCAGAUUCAUCAUCUCCUGUGUUUGUUAAGAUGACUUUCUACUUCCUUUAUACAGAAACUCAAAAUAAACUUCUUUUUGAAGACACUGCACAGAACAAAAGAGUGUCAGCCCUGAGCUUGUGGGGUCCAGAGCCCUCCCCAACUCUGGAUUCAGGUAUCAUCUCAUCCGUACCAUCCUUACAAGAUAAACUCAGCCAGCCACUGUCUCUGCUGCUAGCAUUGUGCCUUCUCUGGGAAGUAGAUCUAGAUGUAGGGCAGAAGACAACCAAGGGCCACCCCGAUAUGUACAGUGCUCUGGCUUUCCUCCAAGCAGGAGGAUAGUUCCAACUCAUAGCAGAUGUAGACCAUCCCCUAAGACUCAGGAUCAAUCAGACAGAAGUGAAACAACUCAUGUCACCUGUAAAUUGUCAUCUCUAAGCAAGCAAAAAGACAGGCCUCUGGGAAUGCCAUGUGUUAUACCUAUGCUAGGGAGAAAAGCGUUCACA